UCCGGUUUGUCACCGGCAGUCUCAUUAGAGAGCCCAACUGAAUGCUGGCAACUAAGGACAAGGGUUGCGCUCGUUGCGGGACUUAACCCAACAUGUCACCACACGAGCUGACGACAGCCAUGCAGCACCUGUCUUCCUGCUGUAUUGCUACAGAGACCGUAUUUCUACGGCUGUCAGGAGAUGUCAAACCCAGGUAAGGUUCUUCGCGUUGCUUCGAAUUAAACCACAUGAUCCACCGCUUGUGCGGGCCCCCGUCAAUUCCUUUGAGUUUUAGUCUUGCGACCGUACUUCCCAGGCGGGGUACUUAUUGCGUUAGCUCCGGCUCGGCAGGGGUCAAUACCCGCCUAACCUAGUACCCAUCGUUUACAGCGUGGACUAC
rnacentral:misc_RNA from 1 species